GAACAUUAGAAAAUCGUCCAAGGAAACACUGUAAAGCAAUAGUAAUUGUUAAAAGAAAUAAAAAUGGAAGGUCAAAAGUUUGUUGCAGUGUUUCUUAUGUGCAUGGUUGUAUUUACAGCUGUGUGUGAAGCCACAGAAGAAGAGUAUCAGGAUUGCUAUCACACAUGUCACGAUGAAUGCACAGCUAAACAAGGACAAGGUUAUACCUUUUGUGAGAUGAAGUGUGAUGCAGACUGCUCAAAGAAGGAUUUCGUUGCUCAAUUCCCUAAAUUCAAGGCUUAAUGAGGAGGACCAAAGACAUAAUAAAAGCAGUCGGAUUAAUUAAUGUAUUACUGCUCAUUGUAAUUUUCAAAAUUCAAUAAAAAGAAAAAUAUUCAUUUCCA